rnacentral:lncRNA from 1 species
UAAAUUAUUGUACUAAAAAAUCACACAAAGUUCAAUUCCCAGGGAAGAGAGGUGGAUCACAAGGAUCUCUUAAAUACCAAGUCUUUCCUUAGUCAGAAUAUUCCUUCUAACGUAAUUUAAUAGCACAAUUAAAUACUACUACUAUACCCUCAAAUAUUGAAAGAAAAAUAGGACAAAAAGAACAUAAGAUUUUUAACGAGGUUUGGUAAAUUAUACCUACGUCCUCGGGCACUAACACCAGAUGAUAACUUUACUAUCUCCAAAAUAUUACAAACAAAUAGAAUUCCUUAAGAAUUCUCAAAUGGGAGAAGAGAGAAAACUAAGAGAGAAAGAUUG